rnacentral:tRNA from 1 species
UAAAAUUUGUUGUAUUUUAAGCAUAAAAAAUUUUCUUUUUUUAGGGAGCUAAACAUUAUAAUUAGCUAAUUUUAA